rnacentral:rRNA from 1 species
GAUGAACGCUAGCUACAGGCUUAACACAUGCAAGUCGAGGGGAAACGAUAGAGAAAGCUUGCUUUUUCUAGGCGUCGACCGGCGCACGGGUGAGUAACGCGUAUCCAACCUGCCACCACUUGGGGAUAACCUUGCGAAAGUAAGACUAAUACCCAAUGACGUCUCUAGAAGACAUCUGAAGGAGAUUAAAAGAUUUAUCGGUGAUGGAUGGGGAUGCGUCUGAUUAGCUUGUUGGCGGGGUAACGGCCCACCAAGGCGACGAUCAGUAGGGGUUCUGAGAGGAAGGUCCCCCACAUUGGAACUGAGACACGGUCCAAAACUCCUACGGGAGGCAGCAGUGAGGAAUAUUGGUCAAUGGACGAGAGUCUGACCAGCCAAGUAGCGUGCAGGAUGACGGCCCUAUGGGUUGUAAACUGCUUUUAUAAGGGAAUAAAAGUGAGUCUCGUGAGACUUUUUGCAUGUACCUUAUGAAUAAGGACCGGCUAAUUCCGUGCCAGCAGCC